ACGGUCAUAUCACGUAGAAUUCACAGAUUCUCGACUGAUCUCCGAACGUAAGCAUUGUCGCGCCAGUUCAGUACCUGGCUGACCGCUUUGGAAUAUCAGGUGGCGCCAG